UGGGGAAUCUUGCGCAAUGGGCGAAAGCCUGACGCAGCGACGCCGCGUGAGUGAUGAAGGCCCUAGGGUUGUAAAGCUCUGUGGAGAGGGACGAAUAAACGUCGGCGAAUACCCGGCGCGAUGACGGUACCUCUUUAGCAAGCACCGGCUAACUCUGUGCCAGCAGCCGCGGUAAGACAGAGGGUGCUAACGUUGUUCGGAAUUACUGGGCGUAAAGCGCGUGUAGGCUGUUACGCAAGUCGGGCGUGAAAGCCCUGGGCUCAACCCAGGAAGUGCACCCGAAACUGCGCAACUUGAGUCUCGGAGAGGGAGGCGGAAUUCUGGGUGUAGAGGUGAAAUUCGUAGAUAUCCAGAGGAACACCAGUGGCGAAGGCGGCCUCCUGGACGAUGACUGACGCUGAGACGCGAAAGCGUGGGUAGCAAACAGGAUUAGAUACCCUAGUAGUCCCUGAGCGGGCUGGCAAGGCGCAU
rnacentral:rRNA from 1 species